UACGAAGGGGGCUAGCGUUGCUCGGAAUCACUGGGCGUAAAGCGCACGUAGGCGGGUCUUUAAGUCAGGGGGGAAAUCCUGGAGCUCAACUCCAGAACUGCCUUUGAUACUGAGGAUCACGAGUCCGGGAGAGGUGAGUGGAACUCCGAGUGUAGAGGUGAAAUUCGUAGAUAUUCGGAAGAACACCAGUGGCGAAGGCGGCUCACUGGCCCGGUACUGACGCUGAGGUGCGAAAGCGUGGGGAGCAAACAGG
rnacentral:rRNA from 1 species